rnacentral:ncRNA from 1 species
GGUCAAGCUCCUAAGGGCGCGGGGGGAAUGCCUAGGCGUCAUCAGCGAUUCGAGCGUGGAAGGCUGCGAUAUGUCCGGGGGAGCUGCCCAACGAGCGUCGAUCCCGGAAUCCUCGAGGAAGACCCAGGGAACUGAAACAUCUAAGUACCUGGAGGAGAAGAAAUCAACCGAGACUCCCUCAGUAGCGGCGAGCGAACGGGGACCAGCCCAAACCGGAUGGGUCACCAUCCGGGGUCGUGGGACCGGAGCCAUGGAACGAGUCGGAGCGAGCCGAAGCCGUUUGGAAAAUCGCACCAGAGCGGGUGACAGUCCCGUAGGCGAAGCGACGACUCUCCUAUCCGGCACCCAAGUAGGGUCGGGCACGGGAAACCCGGCCUGAAUUCGCGGGGACCAUCCCGCAAGGCUAAGUACUCGAUGACGACCGAUAGCGAACCCAGUAGGGCGACCGAACGGUGGGAAGAACCCCGAUCAGGGGAGGAGACUGAACCUGAAACCCCGCGCCUACAAGCGGUGGGAGGGCGUUGGCGCGAGCCAGCCUGACCGCGUGCCUUUUGCAUAAUGAUCCGGCGAGUUACCGUGUCCGGCCAGGUUAACCCCUUCAGGGGGGGAGCCGCAGGGAAACCGAGUCUGAACAGGGCGUCGGAGUCGGGCGUGGUAGACGCGAAACCAGGUGAACUACCCAUGGGCAGGUUGAAGCGGCCCUAAUCGGCCGUGGAGGACCGAACCCACCAGUGUUGAAAAACUGGGGGAGGACCCGUGGGGAGGAGUGAAAGUCUAAUCAAACCUGGAGAUAGCUCGUUCUCUCCGAAAUGGCUUUAGGGCCAGCCUCGGGACGUAGCGUGCGGGGGUAGAGCGACGGAAUCCGACUGGGGGCCUUCCCGGCUACCCAUCGGAACCCAACUCCGAAUACCGCACGCCGGACCCCGGGAGUCAGAGUGUGGGGGAUAAGCUUCAUGCUCGAGAGGGAAACAACCCAGACCGCCGACCAAGGCCCCUAAGACGACGCUCAGUGGUAAAGGAAGUGGGAUCGCCGUGACAGCCGGGAUGUUGGCUUAGAAGCAGCCACCAUUUCAAAA